rnacentral:rRNA from 1 species
UACGUAGGUGGCAAGCGUUGUCCGGAAUUAUUGGGCGUAAAGCGCGCGCAGGCGGCCUCUUAAGUCUGAUGUGAAAGCCCCCGGCUCAACCGGGGAGGGCCAUUGGAAACUGGGAGGCUUGAGUAUAGGAGAGAAGAGUGGAAUUCCACGUGUAGCGGUGAAAUGCGUAGAGAUGUGGAGGAACACCAGUGGCGAAGGCGACUCUUUGGCCUAUAACUGACGCUGAGGCGCGAAAGCGUGGGGGCAAACAGG